AGAGUUUGAUCCUGGCUCAGAACGAACGCUGGCGGCGUGGAUAAGACAUGCAAGUCGAACGAGACUUUCCGUUGUAGCAAUACGAUGGAAAGUUUAGUGGCGAACGGGUGCUUAACACGUGGGCAACCUGCCAUGAAGUGGGGGAUAGCUCGCCGAAAGGCGAAUUAAUACCGCAUGUGAUUAGAGAGGACAUCCUUUCGAAAUUAAAGUCGGGGCAACCUGACGCUUCUUGUGGGGCCCGCGGCCUAUCAGCUAGUUGGUGAGGUAACGGCUCACCAAGGCUUUGACGGGUAGCUGGUCUGAGAGGACGACCAGCCACACUGGGACUGAGACACGGCCCAGACACCUACGGGUGGCAGCAGUCGAGAAUUUUUGACAAUGGGGGAAACCCUGAUCGAGCGACGCCGCGUGGAGGAUGAAGGUCUUCGGAUUGUAAACUCCU
rnacentral:rRNA from 1 species